AUGUGGACUCCGCCGCCGCCAGGUGUGAUUGUCAUCAAUUCAGACGCUGUAAUUUUUUCAGAAAUUGAUAUGUCAGGGGCUGGUGUGGUGGCCCUGAACCAUGAAGGAGCAUGUAUGGUAGCAUGUACUGAACUUAUCCAUGGGGCAUUGGAGCCUGAACUUGCGGAGGCUCUGGCUUUACGAAGAGUUGUAUAUCUGGCCCGAGAAGAGCAAUUCUUCAAGGUGGUAUUUGCCUUAGCUUGCCAGUCGCUGGUUACUAGGAUUAAUUCAAGUAUCUCUGACCGUUCCUCAAUUGGUACCGUGGUCAAUGAUAUAAAGUUUGCUUCAAGGAGCUUUGUGUCUGUGGUGUUCCAGCAUGUUCGUCGACAAGUGAAUAUAGCUGCUCAUCUGUUAGCUAAAUCUUGUAAAAAUUUGUCUAGUGUUGUUGUUUUCCAUUCUACUCUGGAGUGUAUCCGAGAGACCCUUUGUAACUUUGUCUAA
rnacentral:rRNA from 1 species